rnacentral:misc_RNA from 1 species
GCAAACUUGGUCAUUUAGAGGAAGUAAAAGUCGUAACAAGGUCUCCGUUGGUGAACCAGCGGAGGGAUCAUUACAGGGUCUGACGACUGCCCAAACCAAACCGUGAACUAUUCCACAAACCAUAUGCUUCGGCGGGCCGCUCGCUGGGGGAGCCCCGGGCCGCUUUGUCGGUGGUCCGCCGGAAGCAUGCAUUAAACACUUUGCUCUGAGAACUGCUCUGAGAAAAUUCUUUUUCUAAACGAAAAUAAAUCACAACUCAUAACAAUGGAUCUCUUGGCUCUGGCAUCGAUGAAGAACGCAGC